rnacentral:rRNA from 1 species
UACGAGGGGGGCGAGCGUUGUUCGGAUUUACUGGGCGUAAAGGGCGCGUAGGCGGUUCUGUUUGUCGAGUGUGAAAGCCCCGGGCUUAACCUGGGAACUGCGCUCGAGACGGCGGGACUAGAGAUCGGGAGAGGAGAGUGGAAUUCCCAGUGUAGAGGUGAAAUUCGUAGAUAUUGGGAAGAACACCGGUGGCGAAGGCGGCUCUCUGGACCGAUACUGACGCUGAGGCGCGAAAGCGUGGGGAGCAAACAGG